UACUGAUAGCCUUUUUCCAAUAAAGCAAAAUCUAUUUGCAAUAAUAGGUAUAUGCAAAGACCUCCUGAAAUUACAGGAGCAAACUCCUUCCGCAUCUCGACCUAAUUAAGAUCCGUUACUCAACAGUGAUCAGUCAGAUUUUACUGUAAGAAGGAAGAAAACAAGGAUCCUGCUAGAACAACACGGAAACAGCACUGAUUCCAUGAACAGAGAUUCAUGCCACUGUGUAGUCUGCAACAAAACAUUGAAGAUGGUUUCCAAUAUCCAGAUGGACAGGCUGACCAUGAGUGCAAAUCUUCUUGUCCUUAGGAAAAAAAACUUCAAAGGGUAGACAACAGCCAAAUACCGAUCAACGGCAAUGCAGGAAAGACACACACAGAGAUCCAAUAUUGGCUGGAAUGCUGACUAUAAUCACAAAGAUGUAAACAAUGGGAAACAAAUAGUGAUCCAGGUCAUGCUGUUCUUCAAUACAUGUGCUGUUCAUUUUUUCCUUUUUAAGGAGCUUGAUAAAUCUGUGCCUGCAUCAAGUCAAGAAGAGAAACCAACACUGCUGAGGGGACAGGAAAUUGCACUCAUAUUUCAGCACAAACCAAUGAGGAAGCGGCAUCUCAAUGAGAAGGAUGUGCGUUAUCCAAGUUUGAACAAAAAAAGUCUCUUAAAUACUUUUAAAGAUGUUUUUAUUUAUUGUUUACUGUACUGUAAUUUUUAUAACUCACUUGUCUCAUUGCAUGUUAAUUACAAGUGUGUACUGAUAUUAUAUUAU